UGUCAAUUAAAAAGCUUAUUCCGAAAACAGUUUGAACGGUUUGAGAGGGGUCUUUUUGAGGCAGCGUAGCAUUCCGUUUUCAUCAGAACCAUGAAGUCUACACUCUUAGUGCUGGUGGUAGUGUUGGCCGUGUUUGCCACUUUGGAAGUAUCAGCUAUCGAGGAGCUGAACAGAGAAAAGCGAGUGAGUUGCGCCGUUGAGUAUCAUGGCUGCAAAGAACAGGAUUGCUGCCCCGGGCUCUCAUGUGCAACUGACGUAGGGAAAUGCCGGAAUGCUGAGGACAAUAAAUGCUGUCUGAUGUGAUCCCAAGGGAUGCACUGCGCAGGGUGAAUCCAGAUGCACCGAAAAACUUUGGUGAUUAAUGCGGUAAUGGGGUUAGGGGAGAGACAUACACUUUUAACACGACUCAAUGACUACAUUUUAAUGAAAAGUUUAAAGACUAAGGUUGGAGGUAGAAAACAUUGCUAAAAUCACUGACCAAAAUAUAGCUUGAAUGUACACUUCUAUGGACGUAUAGGCUUUAAUGUAUACUAACCUUCUCCAUACACGUUCCCGUCUUUUUAUACUCAUUUGGAAGAAAUUAGGUGCACCCUCCAGGGAAAAGUGAAUAGCUUGACCCGAACACAUCUCACAUGUUAAUUGGUGAACUCAUGUUUCCUCCAUUGGUAAACAUGGGUUCACGCAUUGCGUAAACGGGAUUUUUCUUGCUGUGAUUAUCAAUAAAGGUGUAAACGGGAUUUUUCUUGCUGUGAUUAUCAAUAAAGUCGUAAACCGGAUUUUUCUUGCUUAAAUUAUCAAUAAAGUCGUAAACGGGAUUUUUUUCUUGCUGUGAUUAUCAAUAAAGUCGUAAACAGGAUUUUUUUCUUGCUGUGAUUAUCAAUAAAGUCGUAAACGGGAUUUUUCUUGCUGUGAUUAUCAAUAAAGUCGUAAACGGGAUUUUUUUCUUGCUGUGAUUAUCCAUAAAGGUGUAAACGGGAUUAUUCUUGCUGUGAUUAUCAACAAAGUCGUAAACGGGUUUUUUCUUGCUGUGAAUCUCAAUAAAAAAUUCUUCAAAUGAAUAA